rnacentral:rRNA from 1 species
CCUACGGGAGGCAGCAGUAAGGAAUCUUCCACAAUGGACGAAAGUCUGAUGGAGCAACGCCGCGUGCAGGAUGAAGGCUUUCGGGUCGUAAACUGCUUUUAUAUGGGAAGAUUAUGACGGUACCAUAUGAAUAAGGACCGGCUAACUACGUGCCAGCAGCCGCGGUAAUACGUAGGGUCCAAGCGAUAUCCGGAAUUACUGGGCGUAAAGCGUGUGUAGGUGGAUUAAUAAGUGUGAUGCGAAAUCCGGCGGCUCAACCGUUUGGACUGUGUCGCAUACUGUUAGUCUAGAGGACGGCAGAGGUAAGUGGAAUUACGGGUGUAGCAGUGAAAUGCGUAGAUAUCCGUAGGAACACCAAUGGCGAAGGCAGCUUACUGGGCCACACCUGACACUGAGACACGAAAGCGUGGGGAGCGAACAGGAUUAGAUACCCUGGUAGUCCACGCCGUAAACGAUGCAUACUAUUAGUAUGGGGUAUCGACCCCCUGUGCUGAGAAGCUAACGCGAUAAGUAUGCCGCCUGGGGAGUACGAGCGCAAGCUUAAAACUCAAAGGAAUUGACGGCUGAGACGNGCGAGACGACGACGAGGAGAG